rnacentral:rRNA from 1 species
AUUGAACGCUAGCGGGAUGCCUUACACAUGCAAGUCGAACGGAGUGGCGAACGGGUGAGUAAUGUAUCGGAACGUGCCCAGUAGCGGGGGAUAACUACGCGAAAGCGUAGCUAAUACCGCAUACUAUUGGAGCGGCCGAUAUCGGAUUAGCUAGUUGGGGGGGUAACGGCUCACCCAGGCUACGGUCCGUAGCGGGUAUGAGAGGACGACCAGCCAAACUGGGAGUGAGACACGGCCCGGACUCCGACGGGAGGCAGCAGGGGGGAAUUUUGGACAAUGGGGGAAUCCCUGAUCCAGCCAUCCCGCGUGUGCGAUGAAGGCUUUCGGGUGGUAAAGCACUUUUGGCAGGAAAGCGGUACCUGCAGAAUAAGCACCGGCUAACUACGUGCCAGCAGCCGCGGUAAUUC